rnacentral:lncRNA from 1 species
AAAUUAUUUGUUAGUUGACGAUGCAAUCAGCAUGCUGAUUAAGGUUGCUUGGUUUUUUACUAAACAUUAACUGAAUGAAAACGGGUAGUCCUUGUUCUGCUUGGGGGGCUUUAAGGAAGCAAAUGGACUUUCAGAACAGAGAUUGUCAAUAAAGAUCCAAUGUGAUAAUUUAUGUGAAAUCUUUCUGCAAACUAUACAGUAUGAUAAAAAUAUAAGGUAGUUUCACUGGAAACAACAGAAGACUAGAAGCUGAUGUGACGUGGCAAUAUCAACCAGGAAUACCCAUCUCGAGUUCUGGAUAUGUGCUCUGAGAAGGUGCCCAUGUCACCGACCACACUGGAGGCCAAUGCAGAUACUGGGGGAAGGUUCCAUGGUAGCUAAGUGUGGACAAGCUAAUCACUGAAGUUCCCUGAUGCAGAGUUGAUAAUCUCUCUAGAGUUGGAUGAAAGACUGUGCUGCCUUGAAGCUCUGAGAGAUGCCAUGCCAAUUCAAGGCAGGGUCUUUAUUGUUGAAACUCUUGCGUAAUGACAUCUUUAUUCAGGUGAAAAUACAGGAUGAAUUUCAACUAUAUGAUAUUGUUUAUGUUCCUCAGACAUGUUAUUUGUCUUUACAAAGAUUGGUUUCAAUAAACUGUGUGACUGAUAUUAAAUAAACAUGGAAUUUUACACAUUCAUAAUAUUUGGUUUCUUGUGAUUUUGAUGAACUAUACUUUCAAGCAUUGUCAGUUCAUCCUCAUUUACAAGGAAACAUUUGCUGUAGCAGAGUGAUGUAGUGACUUGCUUUACUUAAGAUAAGUCAACUUUUCUAUUCAAUGUUUAAUGUGAAACUGACUUAAAAAUUUUCUUUUAGGCCACAUUUACAUUUCUGUUUGUAUAACAUGCAUUAUACUAUUUUAACUUAAUACUAUGGCUAUAUAAACCAAAGACAUCCUAAUUCUGUUUUUAAUUUAUUGUUUUGCAAGAUAAAUAAUUUUUAAUGCACUAAUGAAGCUAAGGAGUUCAUAUUAAAAGACAUGUUAUAUGACCUACUGAAGUUGAGCUAUGGAAAUUGACUAUCUUAAAAGUAAUUUUAUAAAAUUAUUUUGUAUAAAAUUGACUUUCUUGUAUGAAUUCUUGACAACAAAUAUAAAACAAAAGGAAGUUGAAACUCCUUCUACAUCCUUCUACACACUGAGGAGAGUUAAUUGAAUUCUUUCUAAUGUCAUGAUUUUUGUGUUUCUUAGAAAAAGAAAUCAGAUGAAUAGUAAACAUUUCAAUUGCACAUAUCUGCUUCUGGCUACCUAUUUAAAAUGAAAAUCUUUUUCAAAGUACACCUAGAUUUUUCACAUCUUUAAAGUGAUAUCAUUUUAUUUGUAGAUUUAUUCAUGAAAUGUUUUCAUUUUGCCAUCCAGGAAAAGAAAUGUCACGGAUUUUUUUUUUUUUUUGAGGUGGGGAAGCCCGAAAAUAUGCAACCCUGAGCCCAUGCUCCUUCAUCCUAUAGCCUCUUUCCAUUCCAGGCACCCUGUAAGCACUCAUCUACAUCUCAAAGAUAAAAGCUAUGAAAGGGCAAAUAAAUAUGCCAAGAAUUAAAGUUCCUCUAACCUUAAAAGGGGUUAUUUAAAACAGGCACUCCUGGUAUACCAUGACCAACUAAGGUCCAUAUACUGGCAUGUGUUGGAUACGCUGCCUUUAUAGAAAGGUACCAGGAAGAUGUUGAGGAGGGGAAGGUCAACCAGCUAGUUCAGAGCAAGUUUCAAACAACAGGGUAAUGGUGUCUUCAUACCUAACAUCUGAUUUUUAGUUUUGAAAUUGCAGUGGUGGUGAUGGGGAGGAAAAUCAGCGAGGGGAGAGGGGAACUGAUGAACCUAAAAAGCAGAAGUAAAAAAAUAAAGUCUGUAGGCAUGGUAGUGACAAAAUGCUGAUUCUUAUGGCUGCACUUCAAAGCAUGCUAGGACAGGCUUGCAAGGUCCAGCAGGAUUAUUUAAAAGGCUUGGAAUUUUGAAUAUAUAUUUUUUAAAACCCUUUUCCUUCUGUUUUAUUUUUUCCCCAACCACUAGACUACCAGAAAAAAAAAAAUACUUUCUAUGCCAUCUUUUAGAUUGGGUUACUUUGGUGGAUGAGUAACCUCACCCAUUCCUAGGAUUCUUUUCUUUUGACUAGUUUCAUUUUUCAGGCAGUGACCUUUCCCUGACCUCAGCCCCAAACUCCAGGUCACCUUUCUGUAGCCCUGGUGUAGCACUGAAUAGAGGGUUUACCAGAUUGUUGGCACUGGAUAAGUGGUACUGGGCACAAUCGUCCUCUUUCAUAAGCAGGAGGGAAGUUUCCUUUCCUAGGAUUGAGAGAGCUGGCUGACUUAUGCCCCCUUUUCAUUUUGUUGUCCAGUAAUUUCCCCUCUGGCCAUAUCUGCAAACUAGUUGCCUUGCAGGAAGGUGACAUGCACCACUGAUGCAAAAAGACAAACAAAAAGACUGUUAUUGGCAUCAGCACAACUUUCAAUGGUACUUCAAAACAGAUUCAUUUGAUAGUGAAACGUUAGUUAUUUGCCCCAAAUAAUUAAAAAGUUUAAUUGAUUAAAGCUUAAUCUCAGCUAUUUAAAUAUUUCUAUGCUUUUUUAAAUUACACUCUCCUGAAUAAAAUCAUUACUAGCUAUGCCAAUCUUCAAUCUGCCCUCAAAUUACCCUAGGAAAGAUCUCCUUUUACCUCAACAUGAAAACAAUUUUUUCCCAAGUUUUCAAAUAGUGGGAAAAACAUCAUCUGAUUAGACUUCAGUAGGAGACCUUAAAUACCCUCUAUCAUUUGGCCUUCAUGUUGCCACAUAGCCAUGGCCCUACCAACAGGAUGGGCACUUCUGAUGUUCUCCAAUGUUCUGCUGUUUCUUUUCCAGGAAGUAACCUGUUUCAUGGGUCCUAAUGCUGAGAUCCCAGGGCUGCAGUGUUUUAGUCCAUUUGAGCUGCUAUAAAAAAAUACCUUCAACUGGGCAAUUAAUAAACAGUAGAAAUUUAUUUCUCACAGUUCUAGAGGCUGGGAAGUCCAAAUCAAAGCACCAGGAGAUUUCAUGUCUGCUGAGGGCCUGCUUCCUGCUUCAUAGAUGGUGACUUCUAGGUGGGUCCUCACACGGAGGAAGGGGCAAACAAACUUCUUUUGGCCUCUUUUAUGAGAGUGCUAAUCUCAUUCAUGAGGUCUCUGCCCUUAUGACCUAAUCACCUCUUAAAGGCCCUAUCUCUCAAUACUAUUGCAUUGAGGAUUAGGUUUCAACAUAAGAAUUUUGAGGGAACACAAACAUUUAGAUGACAGCAUACAGUGAAUGGCAAACUCUAGCAUGUCACAUUGUAAUGCAAGACCAGUGUACCAGCCUGUCUCUUUUGAAUAAAUCAAUGUGGCAAUAUUGAUGAUUUCCAAAGCCUCCCUUUUGUAUUCUGUAUUUGCUACCAUUAUAAGGAUGUCAGCACUAAAGAACAAAAAAAGAAGAAAAAAGAAAAAGAAGGAGGAUCUCAAUAGCUAAUGGGAAGCAUUAAG